GGAGGAAUAUUGGUCAAUGGACGGAAGUCUGAACCAGCCAAGUAGCGUGCAGGAUGACGGCCCUAUGGGUUGUAAACUGCUUUUGUAUGGGGAUAAAGUUAGGGACGUGUCCCUAUUUGCAGGUACCAUACGAAUAAGGACCGGCUAAUUCCGUGCCAGCAGCCGCGGUAAUACGGAAGGUCCAGGCGUUAUCCGGAUUUAUUGGGUUUAAAGGGAGCGUAGGCUGGAGAUUAAGUGUGUUGUGAAAUUUACCGGCUCAACCGGUGGCUUGCAGCGCGAACUGGUCGACUUGAGUAUGCAGGAAGUAGGCGGAAUUCAUGGUGUAGCGGUGAAAUGCUUAGAUAUCAUGACGAACUCCGAUUGCGCAGGCAGCUUACUGUAGCAUAACUGACGCUGAUGCUCGAAAGUGCGGGUAUCAAACAGG
rnacentral:rRNA from 1 species